UCUCCCGACACUCCCUGGGAGGAGGUCAAAGGUGCUGUGGUUCCCAGGCAGGUCGAGGUGGUGAAGUUUGGCCUGAGGGUUCUGAAGAGCAACAUGGCUGUCUACAAGGACUCUCAGAGUUGGGCAUACUUUCUCCACGUGCUCAAAUCUCCUGCUGGUCCUCCUGACACUGCCUUUCUGACGGAGGCGAGAAACGUUACCAUGGAGAUCCUGCUGAACCAGGGAUCUCUGGG